rnacentral:rRNA from 1 species
AAAUUGAAGAGUUUGAUCAUGGCUCAGAUUGAACGCUGGCGGCAGGCCUAACACAUGCAAGUCGAACGGUAGCACAGAGAGCUUGCUCUCGGGUGACGAGUGGCGGACGGGUGAGUAAUGUCUGGGAAACUGCCUGAUGGAGGGGGAUAACUACUGGAAACGGUAGCUAAUACCGCAUAACGUCGCAAGACCAAAGAGGGGGACCUUCGGGCCUCUUGCCAUCAGAUGUGCCCAGAUGGGAUUAGCUAGUAGGUGGGGUAACGGCUCACCUAGGCGACGAUCCCUAGCUGGUCUGAGAGGAUGACCAGCCACACUGGAACUGAGACACGGUCCAGACUCCUACGGGAGGCAGCAGUGGGGAAUAUUGCACAAUGGGCGCAAGCCUGAUGCAGCCAUGCCGCGUGUAUGAAGAAGGCCUUCGGGUUGUAAAGUACUUUCAGCGGGGAGGAAGGUGUUGUGGUUAAUAACCACAGCAAUUGACGUUACCCGCAGAAGAAGCACCGGCUAACUCCGUGCCAGCAGCCGCGGUAAUACGGAGGGUGCAAGCGUUAAUCGGAAUUACUGGGCGUAAAGCGCACGCAGGCGGUCUGUCAAGUCGGAUGUGAAAUCCCCGGGCUCAACCUGGGAACUGCAUUCGAAACUGGCAGGCUAGAGUCUUGUAGAGGGGGUAGAAUUCCAGGUGUAGCGGUGAAAUGCGUAGAGAUCUGGAGGAAUACCGGUGGCGAAGGCGGCCCCCUGGACAAAGACUGACGCUCAGGUGCGAAAGCGUGGGGAGCAAACAGGAUUAGAUACCCUGGUAGUCCACGCCGUAAACGAUGUCGACUUGGAGGUUGUGCCCUUGAGGCGUGGCUUCCGGAGCUAACGCGUUAAGUCGACCGCCUGGGGAGUACGGCCGCAAGGUUAAAACUCAAAUGAAUUGACGGGGGCCCGCACAAGCGGUGGAGCAUGUGGUUUAAUUCGAUGCAACGCGAAGAACCUUACCUACUCUUGACAUCCAGAGAACUUUCCAGAGAUGGAUUGGUGCCUUCGGGAACUCUGAGACAGGUGCUGCAUGGCUGUCGUCAGCUCGUGUUGUGAAAUGUUGGGUUAAGUCCCGCAACGAGCGCAACCCUUAUCCUUUGUUGCCAGCGGUCCGGCCGGGAACUCAAAGGAGACUGCCAGUGAUAAACUGGAGGAAGGUGGGGAUGACGUCAAGUCAUCAUGGCCCUUACGAGUAGGGCUACACACGUGCUACAAUGGCGCAUACAAAGAGAAGCGAACUCGCGAGAGCAAGCGGACCUCAUAAAGUGCGUCGUAGUCCGGAUUGGAGUCUGCAACUCGACUCCAUGAAGUCGGAAUCGCUAGUAAUCGUAGAUCAGAAUGCUACGGUGAAUACGUUCCCGGGCCUUGUACACACCGCCCGUCACACCAUGGGAGUGGGUUGCAAAAGAAGUAGGUAGCUUAACCUUCGGGAGGGCGCUUACCACUUUGUGAUUCAUGACUGGGGUGAAGUCGUAACAAGGUAACCGUAGGGGAACCUGCGGUUGGAUCACCUCCUUACCUUAAAGAA